rnacentral:tRNA from 1 species
GCGAAGAUGGCGGAAUUGGUAGACGCGCUAGCUUCAGGUGCUAGUGUCUUAUCAUAGACGUGAGGGUUCAAGUCCCUCUCUUCGCACCA